AGAGUUUGAUCCUGGCUCAGGAUGAACGCUGGCGGCGUGCCUAAUACAUGCAAGUCGAGCGAACGGACGAGAAGCUUGCUUCUCUGAUGUUAGCGGCGGACGGGUGAGUAACACGUGGAUAACCUACCUAUAAGACUGGGAUAACUUCGGGAAACCGGAGCUAAUACCGGAUAAUAUUUUGAACCGCAUGGUUCAAAAGUGAAAGACGGUCUUGCUGUCACUUAUAGAUGGAUCCGCGCUGCAUUAGCUAGUUGGUAAGGUAACGGCUUACCAAGGCAACGAUGCAUAGCCGACCUGAGAGGGUGAUCGGCCACACUGGAACUGAGACACGGUCCAGACUCCUACGGGAGGCAGCAGUAGGGAAUCUUCCGCAAUGGGCGAAAGCCUGACGGAGCAACGCCGCGUGAGUGAUGAAGGUCUUCGGAUCGUAAAACUCUGUUAUUAGGGAAGAACAUAUGUGUAAGUAACUGUGCACAUCUUGACGGUACCUAAUCAGAAAGCCACGGCUAACUACGUGCCAGCAGCCGCGGUAAUACGUAGGUGGCAAGCGUUAUCCGGAAUUAUUGGGCGUAAAGCGCGCGUAGGCGGUUUUUUAAGUCUGAUGUGAAAGCCCACGGCUCAACCGUGGAGGGUCAUUGGAAACUGGAAAACUUGAGUGCAGAAGAGGAAAGUGGAAUUCCAUGUGUAGCGGUGAAAUGCGCAGAGAUAUGGAGGAACACCAGUGGCGAAGGCGACUUUCUGGUCUGUAACUGACGCUGAUGUGCGAAAGCGUGGGGAUCAAACAGGAUUAGAUACCCUGGUAGUCCACGCCGUAAACGAUGAGUGCUAAGUGUUAGGGGGUUUCCGCCCCUUAGUGCUGCAGCUAACGCAUUAAGCACUCCGCCUGGGGAGUACGACCGCAAGGUUGAAACUCAAAGGAAUUGACGGGGACCCGCACAAGCGGUGGAGCAUGUGGUUUAAUUCGAAGCAACGCGAAGAACCUUACCAAAUCUUGACAUCCUUUGACAACUCUAGAGAUAGAGCCUUCCCCUUCGGGGGACAAAGUGACAGGUGGUGCAUGGUUGUCGUCAGCUCGUGUCGUGAGAUGUUGGGUUAAGUCCCG
rnacentral:rRNA from 1 species